GCCUGGUUGGCUCAGUUGGAAAAGUGUGUGACUCUUGAUCUUGAAGUUGUGAGUUCAUGCCCCACAUUAGGUG
rnacentral:tRNA from 1 species